UUAGCACUACGUGUGGCCCACUGCAGGGGAGAGCUAGAGGCCAGAUCUUUCCUGUGAGUCAGUACCAGCUGUGGACUGUGAGGGAGGAGAAUAAGAAGCCAACAAGAAGUCAAGCCCUCCCUGUGAGUCAGCACCAUGCACAAGCUGCUGGAGAGAGACCCAGAUGCCAUCCCGGAACAGGGCACAGGCUGGCAGACAAGAAGAGCCAAGAUGUGACCCUCACUCCCUCCACCAGUCCCCCACAGUUCUAUCAUAUGGUUAUCUGACUGGGAAUGGCAGACGAACCUGGGGCUUUCCCAGUUUGAGUCCCCUGCUGUUCAGGACCAGUACUGGACUACAUCCUGCAUUAAUUCCUCACUUCUACACUCGAGAGCUGUAAACUUGUCACUGCUGGUUUGCAAACAACACCCACCCAAUUUACCACAGCAACAGAGAUAACAGUGACACUUGGAGUUCUGAGACAGGUAAACCAACACAAGGUGGAGCUGCCUGCCCCCCCCCAAUGGACCAUGCCUCAAAUGCAGCAGAAGACACUGGGCAACGGAGUGUCCCAUCCUGGCAUUCUUUGAGACCUUACCCCGGGGCUACUGGACUGUCCUAGCCACCAGAGAGUGGGUAAGCCAUCCUAACUUCCAGCCCUCACUGGAAAUGCAAACACUGCCAGAUUCAUCACCAACAGAUCUGCUUAAACUUGCUGCUAAAGACUGACAGGGCUGAGGGCCAACAACAGCCCACUUUAUGGGUGUCUGUCUCAGAUUCCAAGUCCCACUGAAAGUCUCAGGGACUCAACGGGCAAUCCUGUCAGUGGUCAGGUCCAGGAGCCGCUGCUGGCCCUGCAUCCACAGCCGCUCCCACAGCUCCUAGUCCUCAUCACUGGACUCCGCCUGUGCCGCCACCACCUCCUCGAAGUCCCUCUGCCUCCGUCCACGUACCUUCUCCUUCUCCUCCUCUGGCCACCUCUGCACUUGGGCCCUACAGCCUUCGGUGACUUGGGAGCUGGGUGAUUAUGUCGUCGGGUAGGGCCACUGCUGCCUUCGCCGGCCUGGGGGUCUGGGCAGAGGACCUGAGUUCAGAGAGCCUGACCAUGGGGAGUGGGUAACAGGAUCCUUCAGUUGCUUGGCUUUGGUUGUCACAGAUCGACCCAAUUCGUGGGCAACUUUUUCCCAUUGACCUGGGGUCCCUCCUGGGAACCUAACCAUACUUCUUGUCAGUUGGCUAAGGGCCUCUUCUGUCCAUUCAGGUGCCUUAUUUUCUUUCAAUUAGAAAGAGAAAGAAAGGAAGGAAAGGAAGGAAGGAAGGAAGAAAGGAAAGAAAGAAAGAAAGAAAGAAAGAAAGAAAGAAAGAAAGAAAGAAAGAAAGAAAGAAAGAAAGAAAGACGGAAGGAAGGAAAGAAGGAAGGAGAAGGAAAGAAAACGAGAGAAAAUUAAUAACUUUUUAAAAGCAGAGUCUUUCUCUGUGGUCUAGGCUGGCCUUGAACUCACUAUGGAAUCCAGGCUGGCCUCCUGCCUCAGCCUUCUGGGUGCUAGGAUUACAAGCAUGUGCCAUCAUGCCUGGUUAAUGAUUACUUUGCGACCUAGGCUGAUCUUUAGAUUUAGAUACUAUUGCCCUGAUUCUCUUAGUUACUGUGCAAGUGGUUGAUGUGCUGUUACUCAGUGGUGACCAAAUAGCCAUGGGGUAAGGCAAAUGGUAGAGAAAGAACUUUAUCACAGUGAGCCAACUGAUUGGACAGUGACUAGCCUAUCACUGUAAGGAUCAUCAUAGCUAAGACUUGAAGCAAGAGCUUGUAUGGGAAAUUUAAGGAAGUGUGUUCUUAGCCACUGACAGCCCUCAGAGGAAUCAUUGAUACUACAGUGGUCCAUUUCUUUGAUGCACAUUCUGAUGUUAUCUGAAGGUCACCAGAUGUCCUGGGUUCUGUUAACCUCUAGAGUACUGAAGUCUUAUGAUUGAUAUUUCUGUCAUUCCUUUUUCCUGGAACAGCUGACUCUAGCAGUUAAGAUCUUAAUCACUCAAGUACAGAUAUACUGUAGAUUUAUGAAUACUGGGCAAAAGCAAAGGAAGCAAGUUUUUUUUUGUUUUUUUUUUUGUGUGUGUGUGUGUGUGUGUGUGUGUGUGUGUUUUUAUCGGUACCAGGGAUCGAACUCACGACUGCCUGCUUGCAAGGCAGGAGCUUAUGCUGCUGAGCUAAACCCUCAGCCCCAGGAAGCAAGUUUUCUAAGAACAAGUUAACUUAUUAGAUGGUUUCAACUAAACUUUAGCACUAACUUUUGCUUCUUUUGGUGCGGUUUUUUGGGGGGAGGUUUCUUUGUUUUGAGAGAGACAGAGAGGGUCUCACUGAAUAUUCCAGGCUGGCCUUGAAUUUACAAUGUAACCCAGGCUGGCCUCAAACUCAUAGCAAGCCUUCUGAGUUAUUUUUUGAGUAUAAGUACUAAAGCUCCAUGACUUGGUGUUUUGCUUAUGCAAGUAAAAAGCCACCAUCUGCCCAGCACAACUGUAAGGCAUGAAAUAAAAAACCACAUAUUCGUGUUAGUAAAAUAUUACUGCCUUUGAACUUUGGAAAUCAGAGACAUAGACAGCUGGGCUUGUCAGACCAUAUCAGAGAUACUGGGCAUGUGAGCUUAUCAAACAUACCAGACCAUUCACUGCCCCCUUACCUAAACCACAAAAAAGGACAAAUAUCUCAGCCUGCAGCAUAACAUCCUGACCCAUCACUUUGCCAUAGACCCUGUGUAGGCAUCACAGCCUCUAGGAAAUCAUGAGAACAUGACCUCCCAAUUGUCCCCAAACUCAGUUUGGUAUAAUCCCCUUGUCACCAAUGCAUCCCACUUUGUUGUUUUCAUUUUUGGUUUGUUUGUCUGUUUUUGGUUUGGUUUGAUUUUUGUUUUGGUUUGGUUUUUGUUGUUUUGUUUUUGCUUUUGACUUUUUGUCUUUUUUUGAGAUAAGGUUUUGCUAUGCAGUUCAAGCUGGCCUUCAACUCACUUUGAAGCCCUGGCUUGCCUCAAACUCAGCACCUUUUGAGUGCUGAAACUACAGGUGUGUGCCACCAUACUGGAUGCAUCCUACUUUGGAGCAACUAUUUGGACCCUUCAUUUUCAUACCCUCAUGAUUGGUCCCAUUAUAUAAUACCUUACCUCUUGUAAUUGUAUUAACUUUGAAUUACCUCUAAUUUUAUAGUCCUUUAAUUCCAUUUUCUCUUUUCCAACUUUCUGUAUCCUAAUACAACAGUUUGAAGUGUACUGUGUGAACUGAGUGUUGUAAAUAUCUCUAAGAUUAGAAAAUAAUAGCUUGUAGUUGCCUGAGUAAUGAUUACUAAGUAAAAUCUAUAGUACCCAGUGAAAUGAUACCAAUGAUUGUGUAUUCAUUAAUAGUCAAUAAAUCCUAGCCAGGUGUGGUGGUGCAGCACUUGGCAGGCUGAGGCAGAAGGAUCACUGAGUUUGAGGCCAGCCUGAGAUACAUAAGUGAGUUCAAGGCCAACCUGUAUUACACAGUGAGACUCUGCCUCAAAAAAAAAGUCUUGAUAUUAUGGAAGACACAAAUACGUCAGUAUAUUUAGUAAUGAUUUAGCUCGUUCAUGAUGUGUGCUAAUAUUGUGACUUUAUUCAUUCUAUAUUUAUAAUCUAGAAUCCUUUAGUAAGAAAGACCUAUUCCCUAAUGACAUAAUGGUCAGUUCUCACCAAGGAAAACAUGAAAAAUUCUUCAUUCUUUCCCAUUUGUUUGUUGGCAAAUGAAGUCAUUUCCCAGCAACCUGAAAGAUGAUGUGAUUUUGUGCUAUUAGUUCUUGAAUUUUCACCCAUGUUGGUAUGCUUUGAACCACUAAUUGAGGCAGUAGAUUAGAGUGUGGCCAACUGGCUGGAUGACUUGUCAAUCAUGGAGAUCCACAAUGUAUGUACAGAAAACCAGUUCCCAAGGGCUGCUCCUGGGGCAAAUCAGAAAAUGCUAUCUUCAGUUCUUCUGGUGUGAGAUCAAGCAAGUUUUUGAUAGGAUGGCCUAAAUCUGAUAUCAGCUUGAGGACUGAGAGAUACAAAGGAUGGUUUUGACCUGGCCACAGUAGUCUCUGAUUGUCCCAAAUCUGAUAACACUCAAUUUUCCAGAGUUCCAGUUUAAAGAGGCCCUUAAUCUCAUCAAAAUUGUGAUGUUUCAAAGUAGGUAUGUUUGGUCUUAUUAUUGCUGAUGCACAGAUGCAAAAAAACUUUGGAAUCCCUAGAGUAAUGAAAGUCUAUUUUAUAUGCUGAUGAUAAGAGCAGUGGCUGAUGGUUCUUAGUUAGCUUCAGGGUGGUAUCUGGGUGGUCACUAGAAAGAUCAAGGCACAAUUAGAGACCUUCAGCCUCAACCCCACCUGCUGAGAUAGAGAAGGCCAAAAGGUUAAGUUGAUCAAUAAUAACUUAUGAUUGAGCCAAUCAUGCCCACAUCUUGAAUCUUCCAAUAAACCCCAAAAGGCUGAGACUCCAGUGACUUCAGGGUAACUGAUGAUGUGAAGAUUCCUGUAAGGCUGUGUGCCAUGAGAUAGCAUGGGAGUUGCUUGUUUAUUUCCAUAGUCUUAGCCUUAUGCAUCUAUUCCAUCUGGUUGUUCAACCAUAUCCUGUGUAAUAUCUUUUAUGAUAAGUGAGUUAAAGUAAACAAAAUGUUUUGCUGGGUUGGCUGAAAAACAAAAUUUUUUUUGAAACAGGAUUUCACUAUAUAGUUCAGAGCAGGCUUGAAGUUAUUUUGUAGCCCAGGAUGCUAAUAUAGAUAGUACAAUUGAGGUUAUGAAAUUAUUUUCCUUCACUCACUUGAAACUGGGCAAUGCCUCAGGACCAACUCCACUCCCAACUUUGUUCUAAGGCCUACUGUCCGGAGGAAGAAAUAAGAAAUACAAAAACCCCUGAACCUACCCUGAAAAAUUCCAAUAUUACACAGCAAGACUCAUGAGCCUGAAACAUUUCUGAUUAUCAUAGGCAACUAAAUUAGGUAGAAAUUAAUAGGCAGACAGGGAAAGGCCCUGGUGGAAGUCAAUACAAAAGAUGAAAGCACAUCAAAACUGCCUGGAGGUGCAUCUAAAGAAGGCAAAACCUGAAGAUAAAGUCACAGUAGCCAGACUUGCAUAGUUCCCUAAAGAAUGAGUGGAAAUUGAGAUCAUACUAUCAUUGGUACCACCUGAAAGGUUUUGGCCCAGACAGGACACUGUAGCCAGGAAAGCCACAACCGGAAGCAGGAAGCCCCAUCUUGCCCUGCCCCUAGGAAGUUACCUGUGACGCCAUCUUCCCACCCCUGGGAAUUUACAUAUGGCGCCAAACCUAGGACCAAUGGGCUACCUGUGUAUCCCUAAUGCCUGCCUUAGGUUCCACCCCAAACCGAGGCUAUUUACAGGCCCCCACGCCGCGUGUCCGCUAGAGAGAUCGCCGGACGCCAGCGGUGGGGUGCCGGUCAUCUCUCUCCGUGUUCUCAGAAUAAAGGCCACUUUUUAUUUUAUAUUUCUCAUCUUUUGUUAAUAUUUUUCAUCUUUUGGAAAUAACUCUAUCACCACCCAGUCCACUAAAUCCAGAUAUGCAUCACAUACCUGGAAAGCUGAUCUGCAUACCUGGACCCAUCCUUUCCCCAAAUAUUCCUGUUUUAGAAGUCAUAGAUAAGCCAAGGUUAAUGAUGUCAGUCAUAUACCAUUGCUAUGUGCCCCAGUUCCCUGUUGGAUCAAUAUUAGCUGAACAGUUACACUUGUAAUCCUCAAGGUUGAUUGUAGUUUGACUCACAUUACAACUUUAGCGGUAUAAAUUACUACUGACAAAGUGUCUCAGUGACAGCCCACUUGGGACCCCUUUUGUUUCUCAGGAACUAUUCCUAUUUCCCAAUAAACCUUUUCUACUCUUAAUCUCCUUUGUCCAUUUGAAAUCAUUCUUCAAGUUCAGGGCCAUGAACUCAGCAUGUCGGACAUCUAGGCAUUUGGGAGUAGUAUUUCUCCUAUAUCAGUAUGACCAACAGUAACCUUUCCUCACUGGGAGCUCAAUGAAGGUUCCUGUAUACUGACUGUAUCUCAUAUAUCCAGUUGUAACAGAGGGAACUAUGACAAAGGACAUGCACAGUAAACACAGUUACCGUGACUCAGCUGCCACUGACUGUGUCAGUCACAUAAGUCAAUCAUGCUCUGCAAGACCAGACAUAUGGUGCCCUAACUGGGUACAAUGUUUAAAAUUCUUAAACCCAACCCAUUCAGCGUUU